GGGAAUAUAGCUCAGUUGGUAGAGUGCUUGCCUCAAAUACACAAGGCCCUGGGUUCAAUCCCCAGCCUGACCA
rnacentral:tRNA from 1 species